rnacentral:lncRNA from 1 species
UCAUCUGAGAACGUGAACAGAGUUUACCUGCUGGAGAAAGCGGUCUGACUCUCAGACUUCUAGAUCUGUAGAUCCGGGGCUCAUGAGGGAGUGUGCCAGAGCCUCAGUGAAUGCCAAAGUCUUCAGAGGUUGGAGACCUAAAGGCAAGAAAUAGAAAUGAGUGAGCCAAAGAAGGGAGUUCCAAGAUGACAGCAGAUCUAGGAAGGAGACCAGACAGACUAAAGAAGAUACCAGCAGCAGGGAUUGGAAGGUCAGGGUGGUAAAAACAAAUUAGAAAGAAGUGUCCUGGAGAGUUGGAAGAAAGGCCUUUUGGAUGGCUUCGUGUAGGUGAAGACCAGCUGCAUAGAGAGAGCCCCAGGUUGGAACUGACAUCCAGAGAAACAGAGGGGCAAUGAUUCACUGGUGAGGCUCCCUUGAAAUGGAAGUCAGUGUCAUAGCCAUCUGGGUAAAUGUGGGGACUCGGUAUCAGUGACAGACAGUGUCACCCCCACUAGACCCUUUUCAGAAAGUGACUCAUCAAGAAGUCUGAGUUGAGUGUCCAUUCUAACUGUAACCAAGUGAGUAGAUCAGGAACAAUUAAAGUGCCAGACUAUGGAAGAGUAAUUUAAUCAAAGUGCCCUGGAUUCUUAUGCAGUUGUUCAAUAGUGAUAACCACAGAGAGUUGUGAAGUAGAUAUUCUCCAAGUAUGAGAUGGAGAAAGCAGGACACAAAAUCAUAUUUGUACUACACUUAUAACUGUUUUAAAAUGUACGCUUAUAGUCAAAAGCUAUUGUGUUGUUGUAGGCUUAUAGUCAAGCAUUAUUUUCUUAAAUUUCUAGAAUGUUCUUUAUGGUAGUGUUAUUCAAAAGUUAAGAAUCAUAUUUCCAUUGUGAGCAUAAUUGGAACUCUUUAUGAAACACUUGGAAAAUAACAGAGAAGUGGAGAAAGAUAACCCAUGUCCCCACCAUCCAAAGAUAGAUAUACUCUUUAAUACCUUGUUUAUUCUUGUUGCUGUGCACAGACUUAUAUAUUACAACUGUGUCAAAAUGUGUAUUCAAGAUAGCUGUUCUAGUAUUUCCUGUGUAAUUACGGUAAAAUACUUUGAAGUUUCCCUAUGUUCCUUGUAAUAGUCGCCUGAUAAUAAAGUUUAGUAUGUAAUAUCACCACCAUAAGCAUACUAUGUACCCAGUGAAAAUUGGAAAAUAAGUAAAAUUGAACAGAAAACUUUGCCCACACUCCCCAUACCCAACAACUGUUAAGAUCUUCAUCUGUGUCCUUCAUUUCAUGUCAUUGCACAAAUUUGUGAUUAAAACAGUGUUAAAUAGAUUUGCAUAAUGCCUAAAACAAACAGAAAUGUGGGAAACAAUUAAAAAUAGUGUUUUUUUGGGGGGGGGGUUCAUGGUUAAAUGUUUUGUUUAAGAUUUCUUGAAUAAUCUUCAGUGUUUGGGUAACAAACUUUACGUAUGUACUCUGCAUCACAAAUAUAAGGCAUACUCAAAGAAAACUGGGAAACUGAAGUGAAGUCGAGAAAAACUGUAUUUCCAACAAACUUCUGGUAACGCCUGGAUCUGUGCCCCACUGGUGUGAUUGUGAGGUUUUCCAUGACAAGUGCGUAGUGUCAACAGCAGGAAGAAAUGUGGAAAGGUGUGGAAUGGCAGGGCAGUUGUGGCGGAAUUACAGUGAGCUGUAUUUUCUCAGUUUCUUUGAGGGUUCUUUGUCAUAGUGUUCUAGCAGGCUGCCCGUAUUGCUUAUAUAUGCAGUACGUGACCAUUCUAGUAGCCUUGAAGAUGUGCAAAUGUAGAAGAGAAACUCACCCAUAUUGUCAUUACCCAAAGACUGUGUUAACAUCUCCAUUUGUUUUCUUUGUCUUGUUUCUGUGCACAGGCUUUUGGUUUGUUAAUAUGGCUGUAGUUGGUCUAUCUUGUAAUAGUGUCAUCAAUAAAAAUAAAGUU